rnacentral:rRNA from 1 species
AGUCGAGCGAUGAACACCUUCGGGUGUGAAUUAGCGGCGAACGGGUGAGGAACACGUGAGAAAUCUGCCUUCACACUGGGAUAACUCCGGGAAACCGGGGCUAAUACCGGAUAUGAAAUCCGCGGGCAUCCGCGGAUUUGGAAAGUUUUUCGGUUGAAGAUGAUCUCGCGGCCUAUCAGCUUGUUGGUGAGGUAAUGGCUCACCAAGGCGACGACGGGUAGCCGGCCUGAGAGGGCGACCGGCCACACUGGGACUGAGACACGGCCCAGACUCCUACGGGAGGCAGCAGUGGGGAAUAUUGGGCAAUGGAGGAAACUCUGACCCAGCGACGCCGCGUGCGGGAUGAAGGCCUUCGGGUUGUAAACCGCUUUCGGCAGGGAAGAAGCGAAAGUGACGGUACCUGCAGAAGAAGCACCGGCUAACUAUGUGCCAGCAGCCGCGGUAAUACAUAGGGUGCAAGCGUUGUCCGGAAUUAUUGGGCGUAAAGAGCUCGUAGGUGGUUCGUCACGUCGGAUGUGAAACUCUGGGGCUUAACCCCAGACCUGCAUUCGAUACGGGCGAGCUUGAGUAUGGUAGGGGAGUCUGGAAUUCCUGGUGUAGCGGUGGAAUGCGCAGAUAUCAGGAGGAACACCAAUGGCGAAGGCAGGACUCUGGGCCAUUACUGACACUGAGGAGCGAAAGCGUGGGGAGCGAACAGGAUUAGAUACCCUGGUAGUCCACGCCGUANACGGUGGGCACUAGUUGUGGGGACCUUCCACGGUCUCUGCGACGCAGCUAACGCAUUAAGUGCCCCCCCUGGGGAGUACGAUCGCAAGAUUAAAACUCAAAGGAA